CCUGCUAUAUCAUCCUUCCUACUGUUGUAAGAAUCCUUUCCCCAUCUCACUGCCCUCAUCGGCGCAGGCAGGAUCACUGCGGCCCUCUGAGUCACCCGAUACUCCCUCCGAUUACUGUGUGCACCCAAUAAAUAGUGGCUCGCUCGGAGUGUCUCUCUCUUUGCCCACUCUGGCAUUGACCUCCCAGCCCCCCGUGAACUUUGAAAUUGUCUCUUCAUCUUUCUUUAGCCCUCGCUGCACCCCUCUCUAGGCAGAUCUGAGGAUUGAUCAGCCUCUGACAGUGACAGGUACUAAUGUCCCAUUCCUGUGGCAGAUCCUGAUGUGAACAGACCUGGGGCCCUCCUGGCAGCAGAGGGGCAGCAGACAGGCGCUGAUUGCUGAUGUGGACCAUCCUGGAGUUAACAGAUGGCUGAGACAGACUGCAGCCCCAGGCCAGGCUCCUGCAUGCCCUCCCCAGGAUGCCUCCAAGGUCUGGUCACUAGUACCACCGCCUGACUGACCCGUCACGGAGUCGGACAUGUCAGACAGCAGACCGGGCAAGUAUAGCCCUUCCCC
rnacentral:lncRNA from 1 species